GACGAACGCUGGCGGCGUGCUUAACACAUGCCAGUCGAACGGAAAGGCCCUGCUUUUGUGGGGUGCUCGAGUGGCGAACGGGUGCGUAACACGUGAGUAACCUGCCCUUGACUUUGGGAUAACUUCAGGAAACUGGGGCUAAUAUCGGAUAGGAGCUCCUGCUGCAUGGUGGGGGUUGGAAAGUUUCGGCGGUUGGGGAUGGACUCGCGGCUUAUCAGCUUGUUGGUGGGGUAGUGGCUUACCCAGGCUUUGACGGGUAGCCGGCCUGAGAGGGUGACCGGGCACAUGGGGACUGAGGUACGGCCCAGACUCCUACGGGAGGCAGCAGUGGGGAAUAUUGCACAAUGGGCGGAAGCCUGAUGCAGCAACGCCGCGUGCGGGAUGACGGCCUUCGGGUUGUAAACCGCUUUCGCCUGUGACGAAGCGUGAGUGACGGUAAUGGGUAAAGAAGCACCGGCUAACUACGUG
rnacentral:rRNA from 1 species